UGGAAUCUGAUUAAACCAAGGG
rnacentral:siRNA from 1 species